ACGAACGCUGGCGGCACGCUUAACACAUGCAAGUCGAACGAGAGAAGAGAAGCUUGCUUUUCUGAUCUAGUGGCGGACGGGUGAGUAACACGUGAGCAAUCUGCCUUUCAGAGGGGGAUACCGAUUGGAAACGAUCGUUAAUACCGCAUAAUAUAAUUGAACCGCAUGAUUUGAUUAUCAAAGAUUUAUCGCUGAAAGAUGAGCUCGCGUCUGAUUAGCUAGUUGGUAAGGUAACGGCUUACCAAGGCGACGAUCAGUAGCCGGACUGAGAGGUUGAUCGGCCACAUUGGGACUGAGACACGGCCCAGACUCCUACGGGAGGCAGCAGUGGGGAAUAUUGCACAAUGGAGGAAACUCUGAUGCAGCGAUGCCGCGUGAGGGAAGAAGGUUUUAGGAUUGUAAACCUCUGUCUUCAGGGACGAAAAAAGACGGUACCUGAGGAGGAAGCUCCGGCUAACUACGUGCCAGCAGCCGCGGUAAUACGUAGGGAGCGAGCGUUGUCCGGAAUUACUGGGUGUAAAGGGAGCGUAGGCGGGAUCGCAAGUCAGAUGUGAAAACUAUGGGCUUAACCCAUAAACUGCAUUUGAAACUGUGGUUCUUGAGUGAAGUAGAGGUAAGCGGAAUUCCUAGUGUAGCGGUGAAAUGCGUAGAUAUUAGGAGGAACAUCAGUGGCGAAGGCGGCUUACUGGGCUUUAACUGACGCUGAGGCUCGAAAGCGUGGGGAGCAAACAGGAUUAGAUACCCUGGUAGUCCACGCCGUAAACGAUGAUUACUAGGUGUGGGGGGACUGACCCCUUCCGUGCCGCAGCAAACGCAAUAAGUAAUCCACCUGGGGAGUACGACCGCAAGGUUGAAACUCAAAGGAAUUGACGGGGGCCCGCACAAGCAGUGGAGUAUGUGGAUUAAUUCGAAGCAACGCGAAGAACCUUACCAGGUCUUGACAUCGUAUGCAUAGCUCAGAGAUGAGUGAAAUCUCUUCGGAAACAUAUAGACAGGUGGUGCAUGGUUGUCGUCAGCUCGUGUCGUGAGAUGUUGGGUUAAGUCCCGCAACGAGCGCAACCCUUACUGUUAGUUGCUACGCAAGAGCACUCUAGCAGGACUGCCGUUGACAAAACGGAGGAAGGUGGGGAUGACGUCAAAUCAUCAUGCCCCUUAUGACCUGGGCCUCACACGUACUACAAUGGCUGUAAACAGAGGGAUGCAAAGCCGCGAGGUGGAGCGAACCCCUAAAAGCAGUCUUAGUUCGGAUUGUAGGCUGCAACCCGCCUACAUGAAGUCGGAAUUGCUAGUAAUCGCAGAUCAGCAUGCUGCGGUGAAUACGUUCCCGGGCCUUGUACACACCGCCCGUCACGCCAUGGGAGUCGGUAACACCCGAAGCCUGUAGUCUAACCGCAAGGAGGACGCAGUCGAAGGUGGGAUUGAUGACUGGGGUG
rnacentral:rRNA from 1 species